rnacentral:rRNA from 1 species
UACGUAGGGUGCGAGCGUUGUCCGGAAUUAUUGGGCGUAAAGAGCUCGUAGGCGGUUUGUUGCGUCGGCUGUGAAAUCCCGAGGCUCAACCUCGGGUCUGCAGUCGAUACGAGCAAACUAGAGUGUUGCAGGGGAGACUGGAAUUCCUGGUGUAGCGGUGAAAUGCGCAGAUAUCAGGAGGAACACCGGUGGCGAAGGCGGGUCUCUGGGCAACAACUGACGCUGGAGGAGCGAAAGCGU